UGUAAAUGAAUCCCUUCCCUUCCCAAUCCGUCCUAUCUCUUUAUUCUCGAACACUAUCUCUCCCCCCCGCGCGCGUUGUGACUUGGUACGUGCCGCCUUCUCUCGGCCUUGGAAGACCGAGGCGCCACGUGACCCCCCUGGAACCGUUUGGGCCGCCAUUUUCACUCGGCGCGCGCUGAGGGGAAAGGGAAAAAAGAAAUUUCAGAAUGGCAGAAGAAUCUGCUGCUCCAUCUACCUCUGCUGACAAAAUUGAGAGUAUGGAUGUGGAUGGAGAAGCCAAGAAACUGCUCGGCUUGGGGCAGAAAAACCUGGUAAUGGGAGAUAUUCCAGCUGCUGUUAAUGCAUUCCAGGAAGCUGCUAGCUUGCUGUAAGUAACAUGAUACCCUUCUGUUAACUCCCAUAGGGACCAGCAUUCCAGGUUAGAUAACAUGGUGCCCUUCACAUUUUGGACUGCAACUCCUCUAUCACCCUCUGCUAGUACAAUUGCCUACCCCAGGUGUAGCAUUUAGAGCCUCAAGAAGAUGCAGGGAAAAUUCUGGCUAGUAUUACAUGGGUAGUUAUUGGCAGAAUUCUAAGGUGACCAUAAUAACUAUGUCUUGAAUGUCUUUACAUACCAGAAUAACAAUUAGUUCUUGGUUUCUGUUGCAGGAUGUGUCCUAAAUUGAUAUUUGUAUUGCAGCUCAUCAAAG